rnacentral:rRNA from 1 species
GAUCAUGGCUCAGAUUGAACGCUGGCGGCAUGCCUUACACAUGCAAGUCGAACGGCAGCGGGCCUUCGGGUGCCGGCGAGUGGCGAACGGGUGAGUAAUGCAUCGGAACGUGCCAUUGAGUGGGGGAUAACGUAGCGAAAGUUACGCUAAUACCGCAUAUUCUGUGAGCAGGAAAGCAGGGGACCGCAAGGCCUUGCGCUCUUUGAGCGGCCGAUGUCAGAUUAGCUAGUUGGUGAGGUAAAGGCUUACCAAGGCGACGAUCUGUAGCGGGUCUGAGAGGAUGAUCCGCCACACUGGAACUGAGACACGGUCCAGACUCCCACGGGAGGCAGCAGUGGGGAAUUUUGGACAAUGGGCGCAAGCCUGAUCCAGCCAUGCCGCGUGAGUGAAGAAGGCCUUCGGGUUGUAAAGCUCUUUCGGCCGGGAAGAAAUCGCAUGGGUUAAUACCCUGUGUGGAUGACGGUACCGGAAUAAGAAGCACCGGCUAACUACGUG